GUGUGUGUGUGCGUGUGUGUAGGCAUGGUAUGUUUGGCUCCUCUUCUGUGAGUCAGAAGGAAAUGUGUGGAGCGUGCUGAUGAGAUGGUUAAAUGCAGACCAUGUUUGCAUGUUGGCCAGAGGGAGCGUCGGUUAUCUCAGAGAAGGCCGGCAGGCAUGGAUGGAUGUGCCAAAUAAAGAAGGAAAAGGUUCGACUUUCAGAGGGUCGGCAGAAUUAGAGAGGAUGGAGUGUGAUUUUUACAGCAUGGAGAUAAGAAAGGAAGAAAUAUAACAUAAAAAGUCUGGAAAUGAGAGAAAUGACACAAUAAACUCGGAAGGUGCUGUGAGGUUGGCAACGUGCACGGCAGAGCGACAAGGUGCUUCUGGCAGGCUUUGUAGGACGUGCACACAU